ACUAACAUAUACACUGACAGAUACACUAACAUAUACACUAACAUAUUGUUAGUGUAUCUGUUAGUGUAUCUGUUAGUGUAUCUCUUGGUGU
rnacentral:pre_miRNA from 1 species